AUAGAUGUGGGCAAAACGUCAGGAGAGAAUGCUUCUGGAACAUGGCCACACAGCCCGAAAGACAUACAACAACCCUGUGAUCCCAGCCAUGAAAGCCUUCGACAACACACAGGCAUUUCAUUAUCUCCUCAAAAUUUGUACUUAGAUAUUCAGCAGAGGUUGCAGCAGUAUGCACACAGCUUCUCUAUUGAUGUCAAUGUGAUAAAAGAUUUAUGUUACAAAAUGUGUGUAUAAAGCACAGUCUCUAGUGAGAAUGAAAAGCAGAAUGAUUUAUUCCUGGGCAUAAUUUUAAGCGUCAUUGGUUAGGUUUAAGGGACAAAUUUGCCAAUAGAUAUUAACUCCUACAUUCUUCACAAUACCAACAAGAAUUUAUUAUGUUACUAGGUGAUGCGCAAAGGGAAAAGAAGAUGCAAACUUAAUUCUGAGAGCGAAACUUCAAGUUAUAGAAAAGAAACCGGUUAUGCCACAGGAAGGUUUUGCAACUGUUAUGAGACUAAGGCUGCUUCUACAAAGCCAUGUAAUCUGGAUCAGAACUUGGAUUAAAGAGAUCUGGUUCAUUUCAGAGUGCUUACACAGGCACCCUUGAAACCAGCUCAAAGCUGCCAUGGAAUCCAUAAAGAUCGCAAUUGCAGAUUGAUCUGAUCCAAACAUUACAUAUUCACCAACCUCUUCUGGAGUGAUAUGCUGGAAAGAAAGCCCGUCUUCUCAGCACUUGACUGCAGCAAAGCAAGGCGAAAGAUAGCAACCAAGUGUUCCCAUGGGAAUGCUGUGGUUUCCUUCCCAGGGAAGGUGUUUUUUACCUUCCAAUCAAGCUGUGUAUUGUCAGGAAACUGAGAUAAAGUGAUCAUAAAUAAGCUGGCUUUAUCUCCUCUUCUUCACACUCAGAAACUCAGUCCUUAAAGGCACGAGGUAUAAAUCACUUCAAUCAGACUCCAAAAAAUCUGCUCCUGAAAAGAGUGGUUCUUUUGCUUUAUUUACAAAGUAUAUACAGCACAACCUUAAAUGCAUGUCCGAUAUUGGUCACAUCAUGGCAAAAGAACAAAACAUUUUUGUCUUCUUUUCAGUUUGCUACUGGAAACUACAUAGGUUACAUUCCUUCAGUGUUACUCCCCUCUAUUGAAUUAACUCAUGAACUACUAUAACUUCUAUGCACAUGCAUUUUAAACUAAAUGCUUUUCACUCAAACAUCAAAAACACUGACAUGUAUUUGAUUUAAUACUCUGACUGCUGCAGCAUUAGCCCUGCCUAUAUAAGUACUCUGCAUUUGACAUUUAGCUUACUGUGCAGUGUUUAUUAGGGAUACACAAUUUUUUUUGUUAGUUGCCAUAAGUCAGUUGUCAGAUCAAAUUUAUUAAAUUCAUACUUACGGCACAAUAUCCGAUGAACAGACAUGGCUCAUGCCAAAAACUUAAGUGAAACUUACCCAAUACUUAUUCACUUUAAUUUUGUAAAUCUCAGAAGCCUCCCAAAGUCAAUUUCAUUCUCAGUGCAUGGAAGCAAAGCAAAGCUGAAAAUGCUGUCUUUCCUCUUUGCAUUAAUGGCUUCUCGCCAUUAUGUCACUCACUUGUGAGGUUUUGUUAUUCCACUCUUUCCAGCUGAAUUCAUGUUGUAACAUUCAUUGGGGUGUACACUUUGUAGAUACUCCGAGUUCCUGCAGGCUUGAAGUUGGAUUUUAGUACCUAUGUAGAAGGACCCUUAAGCUGGAUCUACAAUGCUAUAUAAUGCAGAUAAAAUCCGUUAUAUGAGCCUAAACUGACCACAUAAUUUAGUUCAAACUGCAUUAUAUGUCGGUGUAGAUCCAGCUUUAGCUCCACCUUAAUGAAUGCAAUGACAACUGUUACUGUCAUUUUGGAUACUGAUUUAAUUAACUGAUGUGCCUAAGGAUCUAAUUCCUAAUUCCAUGGACUGGGCCAAUCAUAGAAUCAUAGAAUAAAAGAGUUGGAAGAGACCUCAUGGGCCAUCCAGUCCAACCCCUGCAAAGAAGCAGAAAAUCACAUUCAAAGCACCCCCAACAGGUGGCCAUCCAGGCUCUGCUUAAAAGCCUCCAAAGAAGGAGCCUCCACCACAGUCCGGGGCAGAGAGUUCCAUUGCCAAACAGCUCUCACAGUUAGGAAGUUCUUCCUGAUGUUCAGGUGGAAUCUCCUUUCCUGUAGUUUAAAACCAUUGUUCUGCAUCCUAGUCUCAAGGACAGCAGAAAACAAGCUUGCUCCCUCCUCCCUAUGACUUCCCCUCACAAAUUUAUACAUGACUAUCAUGUCUCCUCUCAGCCUUCUCUUCUGCAGGCUAAAUAUGCCCAGCUCUUUAAGCCACUCCUCAUAGGGCUUGUUCUCCAGACCCUUGAUCAUUUUAGGCGCCCUCCUCUGGACACAUUCCAGCUUGUCAACAUCUCCAAUUGCGGUGCCCAGAAUUGGACACAGUAUUCUAGGGGAGCAUGACUUCCCUGGAUCUAGACGCUAUACUCCUAUUGAUGCAGGCCAAAUUCCUGUUGGCUUUUUAAGCUGCUGCAUCACAUUGUUGGCUCAUGUUUAACUUGUUGUCCACGAGGACUCCAAGGUCUUUUUCACACAUACUGCUGUUAAGCCAGGCAUCCCCCAUUCUGUAUCUUUACAUUCCAUUUCUUCUGCCAAAGUGAAGUAUCUUGCAUUUGUCCCUGUUGAACUUCAUUUUGUUAGUUUCGGCCCAUCUUUCUAGUCUGUUAAGAUCGUUCUGAAUUCUGCUCCUGUUUUCUGGAGUGUUAGUUAUCCGUCCCAUUUUGGUGUCAUCUGCAAACUUGAUGAUCGUGCCUUCUAAACCUUCGUCUAAGUCGUUAAUAAAGAUGUUGAACAGAACCGGGCCCAGAACGGAACCCUGGGGCACUCUACUUGUCACUUCUUUCAAAGAUGAAGACGACACAUUGGUGAGCAUCCUUUGGCUUCGUUUGCUUAGCCAACUACAGAUCCACCUAACUGUACUUUUGUAUAGCCCACAUUUUACUAUUUUGUUUGCCAGAAGGUCAUAAGGGACCUUGUUGAAGGCCUUGCUGAUAUCCAGGUAUGCUACAUCCACGGUGUUUCCUGUAUCAACCCAGCUUGUAAAUCUAUCAAAAAAAGAGAACAGAUUAGUCUGGCAUUACUUUUUUUUUUUUUGUUAAUCCGUGUUGACUAUUAGUGAUGGUUGCAUUUGUUUCUAAGUGUUCACAGACCACUUCCUUAACAAUCAAUCUUUUCCAGAAUCUCGCCAGGUAUCGACGUGAGGCUGACCGGACGGUAACUGUUUGGGUUGUUCUUUUUUCCCCUUCUUGAAGAUAGGGUCCACAUUUGCCCUCCUCCAGUCUGCUGGGACUUCUCCCGUUCUCCAAGAGCUCUCAAAGAUGAUUGCUAGUGGUUCUGAAAUAACUUUUGCUAAUUCCUUCAAUACUCUUGGAUGUAGUUGAUCUGGUCCUGGGGAAUUCAUUUAGAGUUCCUGGACAACUUGUUUCCCUAUUUGGGGUUGGAUUUCCCCUAAUCUUUCGUCCAAUCCAUUUUGCUGAGGUUGAAGGCGGCUUUGUUUUUGUGAGAAGACCGAGGCAAAGAAGCCAUGAAUUCUGCCUUUUCCCUGUCCCCUGUCACCAUCACCCCAUCUUCUCCUUGCCUCCUUGUUUUUCCUUUUUCUACUGACAUAAACAAAAAAGCCUUUUUGUUGUUUUUAAUGUCCCUGGCAAGCCUGAGCUUGUUUUGUGCUUUAGCUUUGCGAACCUUUUGCCUACAGGAGUUGGCUAUUCGUUUGAAUUCUUCUUUGGUGAUUUCCCCCCUUUUCCACUUCUUGUACAUGUCUCUUUUGAGUCUUAGCCCAGUUAGAAGUUCUUUGGACAUCCAUUCUGGCUUCUUCGCACUUGUCUUAUUUUUUUUUCUUUGUUGGCACUGUUUGCAUUUGCGCCUUGAAUAUUUCACUUUUGAAAAACUCCCAUCCAA